AUUGAACGCUGGCGGCAUGCCUUACACAUGCAAGUCGAACGGCAGCACGGGUGCUUGCACCUGGUGGCGAGCGGCGAACGGGUGAGUAAUACAUCGGAACAUGUCCUGUAGUGGGGGAUAGCCCGGCGAAAGCCGGAUUAAUACCGCAUACGAUCUACGGAUGAAAGCGGGGGACCUGCGGGCCUCGCGCUAUAGGGUUGGCCGAUGGCUGAUUAGCUAGUUGGUGGGGUAAAGGCCUACCAAGGCGACGAUCAGUAGCUGGUCUGAGAGGACGACCAGCCACACUGGGACGGAGACACGGCCCAGACUCCUACGGGAGGCAGCAGUGGGGAAUUUUGGACAAUGGGCGAAAGCCUGAUCCAGCAAUGCCGCGUGUGUGAAGAAGGCCUUCGGGUUGUAAAGCACUUUUGUCCGGAAAGAAAUCCUUGGCCCUAAUACGGUCGGGGGAUGACGGUACCGGAAGAAUAAGCACCGGCUAACUACGUG
rnacentral:rRNA from 1 species